rnacentral:rRNA from 1 species
GUCGAGGAGUUUGGCGUGGAUAAUAAUCGGGCAUUAAGUGUUUUACCGAAGCUAUGGGAUACGUAAGUAUCGGUAGGGGAGCAUUCCACUCUGCGUUGAAGGCUAAGCGUGAGCUUUACUGGAGCGUGUGGAAAAGCAAAUGUAGGUAUAAGUAACGAUAAAGGGGGUGAGAAACCCCCUCGCCGCAAGACUAAGGUUUCCUGAUCA